rnacentral:rRNA from 1 species
CAGUGGGGAAUCUUGCGCAAUGGGCGAAAGCCUGACGCAGCCAUGCCGCGUGUAUGAUGAAGGUCUUAGGAUUGUAAAAUACUUUCACCGGGGAAGAUAAUGACGGUACCCGGAGAAGAAGCCCCGGCUAACUUCGUGCCAGCAGCCGCGGUAAUACGAAGGGGGCUAGCGUUGCUCGGAAUUACUGGGCGUAAAGGGCGCGUAGGCGGAUAGUUUAGUCAGAGGUGAAAGCCCAGGGCUCAACCUUGGAAUUGCCUUUGAUACUGGCUAUCUUGAGUUCGGAAGAGGUAAGUGGAAUGCCGAGUGUAGAGGUGAAAUUCGUAGAUAUUCGGCGGAACACCAGUGGCGAAGGCGACUUACUGGUCCGAUACUGACGCUGAGGCGCGAAAGCGUGGGGAGCAAACAGGAUUAGA